AAUAAAACAAUUAAGAAAUUAAAAAAAAGAUUGCUGUCAUAAGAUGUUGCAUAGCAAGAUAUUUUAAAACAGAAACGCUAAUCUGUCCAUCAAGUAAGCAUUCAUGUUAUGAUAAUGGAUAAGAGGACAACUACUUUUGUAAAUAAACUCAUGUUAUUUAUAGUGAAGGACAUUUGACACAUUGGGCAAAUUUAAAUAUCACUGUGAUUUUAUCACUGAAAACUUACAUGCUUGUGCUGUUAUACAAACUCUUAAUAUCUUCUUAAUGAAAAACCUGAAAUCAGGAAUGUCAAAUAUGGUUAAACUUGUACAAAUAGCUGCAGAGAAUUAGGACUGAACAUUAACAAUAUAAAAAUAACAGUAUAAUACGGUAGCAUGUAUGCAUAAUUACAAUAAAUAAUAAAAGAUAUAUACAUAUAUUAGAAGUUUAUGCUCAGAAUAGUUUGUAUUAUUUUGCUAUCUGAGCAGAAAUGUCCCAAAACCAUAAUUCUGGGUGUCAGGUCACUAUUUUAUAUAAAUAACAAACUGUAUACUUGUAAUGGCUGCUCAUGGUGUAGCAUGUAGAGGCUUUGUUAAUUUAUUCCUUCUAAGACUUCAAAAUUUGAGAGAAAAAUUAAAAUAUUAUUUAUGAACUCCUAACACUACAGUAUAUGUUCUUACAUGUGAUGGAAGUUUCACCAUAUAUUCCCAAGUGUCCCGUGAGGAACUUGCCCAAGGUCCCAAGGUAGUAAGUAGCAGAGCCUAAAAUUUCAAGCCACCAUCUCCUUCUGUAGUGAGCACCAACAUUUCCUCCUGGAUUUGAGUAUCACUUCUUCCUGGGUUUGUGAUCUUGAGAAGUUACCCCAACUUUUUAAGCCACAGUUUCAUCAUUUGCAAAGCAGAGAUAAUGGGAUUGUUACCAGGAUUGUUGUAGGAAUUAAAUAAAAUGAUAUAGUGCUAAGCACAUAGCAAAUAUUCAGGAUUAGCUUCUAUUUUUACCCAUAUGAUAUUACAUCGUGAACAGGAUAAUAAUAAUAAAGGAUAUGGUGUCAGCGUACACUUCUACUUUAAUAUGCGUAUCAGCCAACUUCCAGCCGCAGUUUUCACAGGAGCACAUGUUGUGAACAGCAGCUGAUGGAAUUGGAAAGGAGUCUUUUUAAAAGCAUCAAGUGUCACAUUUAUCUUUUUUUGUUCGUUUCUUGUCUUUUUUUCUGGCUGGUGUAUAUUAUGGAAUAUCUGAAUCCAAAAACUUGACUUUGUAGUGAUUCAUGAGUUAUUACUUUAGUAGUUAUGCAUAUUCAAGUCUAUCGUAAAGUAAAACAAGAUUCUCUAAAAACCACUCCUAAUGACUGUCUGAUGUAAUCAGGUUUUCAAGGUAGGUGUUAAUUUCAUUCACUUAUUGAUUCACUUAUUUAUUCAGUGACUCUUUGUUGAUCAUCUUUUAUGGGCUGAGCUCUCUGUGGUUUCUGGGGCGAUGCAGAUGAAAAGGGUUCAUACCCUGAGGAGUGUAGCCUUGGGAGAAGUCAGGCCCGUGCACGGAUAGGUCAAGUGUGUCCUGACGCAGGGGACAGUGGGCAUCUGCAGCAGGUGUGUGGAAGACAGGUGAGGGAGUGACAGCUGUGCUUGCGAGAGCCGGGGAAGGCUUCCCAGGGAAGAUGGCGCCUGUGGUGGGAAUGACGGUACUGAGCAGCCAGGAGAGGAGUGCGGUGUAGACGGCACCGUGGAACGAUCCAGCUGCCAGUCAGUGACUUGGUUGGACUCCCCAGGAAGCCUUAGAAAGUGGAAUCAGUGUUCUUUCCUCCCCUCACCCCCACCCCAGUCGGCCAACCAUAUCCACUGUUCACAGAUCAGUGCUUGUCCCUUGUUAAAGGGGAAGAGUGUAACACAAGUGUUUAUUCUUAUUAGAAUAGACAUGAAACAAGGAACCUCAAACUGUAUCAUAUCAAAAUGAUAUCACAAGAGAAUAUUUACCUGGUUACCUAGGAUUGCUGUGAUAGAAAUUUAACAAGUAAUACCAUAAUGUCUGCUCAGUGUAUGUUUGGGUACCUGUUGUCUGAGUUCUGUGUUGGGUUGGUGAUGCUUACCAAUUUUUAAAAUCAGUGAACUAAGAUAUACCACCUAUUGGCUAAAUAUAAAACAGUAUAAACUUGCAAAGAAGAAGGCCAAAUUUAUAAAUUACAGGUAGCAUGUGCUGGAACUUCUGUUGGAGAGCAAAAAGGGCAGUAGUUGCAAAUAUUACUUUGGCAGUUGCUGCAAAAAUCUUUUUUUGGAAUAUAAAUAAAAGACAACCAUUGUAAGAUUCUGCACAUUCUCUGCUUCCUUGAGCAUUGUAUGGACAGAUAAAGCUUCCCCGUGUUUAUCCUUGUCAGAUUAUUGGUGCUGCUCCGAGUAAAGCCUGUCUUCUCUCUCCAGUGUGUUAUUGUAGCAGACAGCUUUUAAUAAAACAUGUAGCUGAAGAAAAAUUUUUAUUCUGCUUUGUUGGAAUGUGCUAUAAUUAUAGUUACAGACAUCCUCAAGAGGAAAUGUUUAAAUUGGUAUUUUUCUUAUGAUCAAAUAACAUUUAGUGAGUCAUUGAAAAGUGAAAUCAUGGUAUCAAUUAUACCUGUUUUUAUUUGAUAAGCUUUCACAACUAAAUUAAACUUCCGUACAUCAUUUAGUCGGGUAGAUGUUUACCUUUUCUUUACAUUGUUUGUUUUUUAAGUAUUCAGUGCAGCACGCCAGUCAGCCGACACCCAACACUGGAUUUCACCGAGAGGCAAGGCGUUGCCGACUACACGGCCGCCCUGCUCUCGGUCCUCCAGGCGCCUGGCUGUGGGAGGGGAGCUCUGUGAUAGAACCGGGUUGCUCCAGCUGGGUCGGAACCGCUGAGAUGCAGCAGAGCCGCCUGCUCUUGUACUGAUGCAGCCACGGCAUUUACAAAAUUUCUCCAGAAAACACAAAGUUCUUUAAAAUUUAUUAACCAAAAAAAAAGGUGGCAAGGAGAAUAAAGAGCACUCACUAUGUUGUCAUGUAAAUACCUGGAACAUGGAGAUGUACUGGAAGGUCUCUAUGAAAGGAAACGAAGGAUUAUUGGAAGAGAUUUUUAAAGAAAACGUACUUUUCAUUUUCUCUUUUCUUAUCUCGUAAGGGUGGUGGUUUCUUACUACGUAAUUACACCUUGGCUUAUUAUUUCAUAGUGUAACUUCAUCAGCUUGUCUUGGUCUUCGCCCCGGGAGCUCUUUCCUCUUCUGUUAUAUCUGCCCUGACACCUGUGUGUGAAAGCUGCCAUUGUGUGUGAACCUGAGAACGGAAAGGUUCCCACCAGCACUGGCAUAUUUCUGUAAAAAUUUACAAAUAUAUUCACAAUUAUGCUCUUAUACUUAGAGGACAGUGUUCUGUUUUUUCAUAACAAAUAUUAGUUAUCAUUUAAACAUAGUCAUAAUUUUGAGGUAAAUUAAAGAAAAGAUGAUUUUCUAAUGUUGCCCUCAUUUUCAUAUGAUGGAAUUAGAGUAGGAGUGCACUGUUUUGAAGGGAGGCUUUUGGGUGAUUGUUGAGCUAGAUGAUUCAGUGGCAUGAAAGCUGUAUUUAUAACUAUAGACGUAUGGGUAAGAGGGAAACAGUGGUAUUUUCUUAAGUCCCACAAAUUUUCAGGAGCCCAGGAUUACAGCGUGACUCCUGCAUCCCAAUGUUAUGACUUUACUGCCUGUGUUUGCAUAUGUUUCUAGAGCAGAUGUGUUUAUUUACUUAUUCUUAAUUUUU